UACGUAGGGUGCAGGCGUUAAUCGGAAUUACUGGGCGUAAAGCGUGCGCAGGCGGCUUUGCAAGACAGAUGUGAAAUCCCCGGGCUUAACCUGGGAACUGCAUUUGUGACUGCAUGGCUAGAGUGCGGCAGAGGGGGAUGGAAUUCCGCGUGUAGCAGUGAAAUGCGUAGAUAUGCGGAGGAACACCGAUGGCGAAGGCAGCUCUCUGGGACGGUACUGACGCUGAGACGCGAAAGCGUGGGGAGCGAACAGG
rnacentral:rRNA from 1 species